UGUGUCUCCAGGUGUAAUAUAGUGUGUGUCUCCAGGUGUAAUAUAGUGUGUGUCUCCAGGUGUAAUAUAGUGUGUGUCUCUCCAGGUGUAAUAUAGUGUGUGUCUCUCCAGGUGUAAUAUAGUGUGUGUCUCUCCAGGUGUAAUAUAGUGUGUGUCUCUCCAGGUGUAAUAUAGUGUGUGUCUCUCCAGGUGUAAUAUAGUGUGUGUCUCUCCAGGUGUAAUAUAGUGUGUGUCUCUCUCCAGGUGUAAUAUAGUGUGUGUCUCUCUCCAGGUGUAAUAUAGUGUGUGUCUCUCUCCAGGUGUAAUAUAGUGUGUGUCUCUCUCCAGGUGUAAUAUAGUGUGUGUCUCUCUCCAGGUGUAAUAUAGUGUGUGUCUCUCUCCAGGUGUAAUAUAGUGUGUGUCUCUCUCCAGGUGUAAUAUAGUGUGUG